rnacentral:rRNA from 1 species
GACGAACGCUGGCGGCGUGCUUAACACAUGCAAGUCGAACGGAAAGGCCCUGCUUUUGUGGGGUGCUCGAGUGGCGAACGGGUGAGUAACACGUGAGUAACCUGCCCUUGACUUUGGGAUAACUUCAGGAAACUGGGGCUAAUACCGGAUAGGAGCUCCUGCUGCAUGGUGGGGGUUGGAAAGUUUCGGCGGUUGGGGAUGGACUCGCGGCUUAUCAGCUUGUUGGUGGGGUAGUGGCUUACCAAGGCUAUGACGGGUAGCCGGCCUGAGAGGGUGACCGGCCACAUUGGGACUGAGAUACGGCCCAGACUCCUACGGGAGGCAGCAGUGGGAAUAUUGCACAAUGGGCGGAAGCCUGAUGCAGCAACGCCGCGUGCGGGAUGACGGCCUUCGGGUUGUAAACCGCUUUCGCCUGUGACGAAGCGUGAGUGACGGUAAUGGGUAAAGAAGCACCGGCUAACUACGUG